rnacentral:rRNA from 1 species
GGUUCAUUCAAAUUUCUUCCCUAUCAACUUUCGACGGCUGGGUCGUGGCCAGCCGUGGUGACAACGGGUAACGGAGGGUUAGGGCUCGACCCCGGAGAAGGAGCCUGAGAAACGGCUACUACAUCCAAGGAAGGCAGCAGGCGCGCAAAUUACCCAAUCCCGACCGGGGAGGUAGUGACAGUAAAUACUGAUACAGGGCUCUUUUGGGUCUUGUAAUUGGAAUGAGUACAAUUUAAAUCCCUUAACGAGGAACAAUUGGAGGGCAAGUCUGGUGCCAGCAGCCGCGGUAAUUCCAGCUCCAAUAGCGUAUAUUAAAGUUGUGAGGUUAAAAAGCUCGUAGUUG